GAUGAACGCUGGCGGCGUGCCUAAUACAUGCAAGUCGAGCGAACAGACGAGGAGCUUGCUCCUCUGACGUUAGAGGCGGACGGGUGAGUAACACGUGGAUAACCUACCUCUAAGACUGGGAUAACUUCGGGAAACAGGAGCUACUACCGGAUGAUAUAUUGCACCGCAAGGUUCCAUAGUGAAAGUCGGUUUUGGUGUCGCUUAUAGCUGGCUCCGCUCCUCAUUCGUUAGUUGGUAAAGUGACGGCUUAACCACGCAAGGAUGCGUAGCCGACCUGAGAGCGACAUCGCCCACACGGUAACUGAGACACGGCCCAGACUCUUACGGUAGGACGCGGUAGGGAAUCUUCCGCAAGGGGCGAAUGGCGGACGGAGCAACGCCGCGUGAGUGAUGAAGGUCUUCGGAUCGGAAAGCUCUGUUAUUAGGGAAGAACUAAUGUGUAAGUAACUAUGCACGUCUUGACGGUACCGAAUCAGAAAGCCACGGCUAACUACGUG
rnacentral:rRNA from 1 species